rnacentral:rRNA from 1 species
GAUGAACGCUAGCGGCAGGCCUAAUACAUGCAAGCCAAGGGCUGUUUGGUGUAGCAAUACAUCAUACCACCGGCGGACGGGGGCGUAACGAGUAUGCAACCUACCCUAUACAGGAGGAUAGCCCUCUGAAAAGAGGAUUAAUACUCCAUAAGAUUGCUUAGAGGCAUCUUUAAGCAAUUAAAGCCGCAAGGUGGUUUAGGCUGGGCGUGCGUUCGGUUAGCCAGUUGGUGAGGGAUCAGCUCACCAAGGCGAUGAUCGGUAGGGGUUAUGAGAGUAAGGCCCCCCAGACGGGCACUGAGACCCGGGCCCCACUCCUACGGGAGGCAGCAGUAAGGAAUAUUGGAGAAGGAGGGAAAGCCUGAUCCAGCCAUGCGGCGUGCAGGAAGAAGCCGCUAGGGGUUGUAAACUGCUUGUGAGGGGGAGAAAUAUGGGCGAUGCGUCGCUCGAUGAUAGUACUUCUCGAAUAAGCAUCGGCUAACUUCGUG